rnacentral:lncRNA from 1 species
GAAGAGUUUGAGGAGGCUGAUUGGACCUGUGUAGUCAGGGAGGUUGAAGCAGAGAACUAACUCACGGUUAAAGCUCAGGCCUUCACAAGUACAUUGCAUGUCUGUCAAGUAUGGGCUUUUAACUGCCUCACUUGGAUUCAUCUGAAUUCUCCCUGCAUGACCAAGAAAAGGGGACUUGGCAGUCAUUCACCACUUAAGCCGAGACACAAGUAAGCGUGCUUGAUAGAUAAGCUCCAAUUCUUUAAGGAAAGUUGUUCACUGAUAUAUCAACAGUACCUAGAACAGUGCCUGACAUAUGGUAGAUAGUAAGUAUUGAAUAUCUAAUAAUAAUAUUUAUAAAUAAAUAAUAAUAAAUAAAUAUUUAUUAAAUUAAUGAAUAUGGCCAUUUCUGAGCUGGCUUACUGUGAAUAAUGGAAAGAAUUAGGGCCCUGCUGAAAGGUGACAUCGGCUGAGUAUUCCUACAGGAGUCCACUUAGCUCCAGCUCUGUUGGUUUUACAGUGCCACAUCACAGCCUCUGGGAUCCUCUGCCUCCCAGGCUGAUGCCCUGCAACAGGUGAUUUUGUGGUGAUCCCUUAUACAGUUAAAUAUUCCUCUCUCUCUUUUGAGUUCUGAACUCCAGCCUAGAUUCUUCUUUUCUUUCUUUAUGUCUGGUUGUUCACAGGUAGGUCUUUCCUGCUCAUUUUUUCAGAGUGAAAGAAUGAAAGUGUCCCUGGGAGAUAUAACAUCCCUUUCUAAGCAUAAAUGCCUUAAAUUUUAAUAGUUGCCUUAAAUAGUAAUAGUACUAAUGAUGAUGAUGAUGUCCUAAAAUAUUAUAACCUGUUAAAUAUGGCACAAGCAUUAGGCUAAACACUAUAAACACUAAACUCAACCUUAGAAAGAUUGGCAUAAUUAACUACAUUUUUCAGUCAGAGAAAUUGAGGCUUAGAGAAGUUACUUGCUCAAAGUCAUUCAGUUAGUGUUCCACUGGACUUGACUGACAUCACAGAACAUCAACACUAGAUAAGGAUACUCAGUGUCAAUAACAGACCAAGGGGCUAAAGGUGUAACUCAGUGAUGGAGUGCUUACCUGGCACAUGUGAGACACUAAGUUUGAUCCUCAGUACCACAUAUAAUAAAGAAAUAGAAAUAAAGGUAUUAACAUAAUGCAAUAAAGUUUAAAAAAUAAUAGAUCAAGAUGAAAACGAAACCACUCCAUGAUCAUGUCUGAUCACAGACACAGGCACAAACAAGAAUAUUGGCCAAACCAACAAAAAUGACCAAGCAUCCACCUAUCCAGGCUAAUGGUAAAGAAGCAAUGCCAUUUGUGUUAGCUUAAAUUCUAGAUGAGAUUUAUUCAGAUACCUAGUCAUAGAAUUGCCCUGUGUCCUGAUGUCAUCCAGGCCAAGCAAUGCCCUGCUUUCUUCAAACCACAUACCGUAAGCCUGAGUUCCAUAAUAAGUUCUCUUUCAUAUUCUCUUACUGAUAGCCCACAGUUCUUUGUGGUGUGCUUUUCCC